GGAAAUUUUGAUGAAAAGAAAUUAUUUUGUAUAGAUUGAAACGAAUUUUGUGUUAUGAACAUUAUUGAGAUAUAACGUUUUUAUAUUGUCUCCAUCUACUCGGCUUUAGAUGCUUUUGAUGGUAAUUGUUUACUCACUAGGAUUAUUUAAUCUCACCCCUCUUCCUAUCCAUUUUUCAGGCUCAGGACAGUUUGUUGAUAGUUGAUUAAGACGAGAAUUAAUCUCGGAGUUGCAUCAUAGGAAGUAAGGGUUCGUAGCUCUACACCUUCUUGGUUAGUUAGGGGCCCACGUGUCACUGUAAA
rnacentral:lncRNA from 1 species